AGGAGGGUCAAGUGUCCAUUUUCAACACAAUUUGUGAUAUGUGAUAUCAAAGAAAUUUUCUCGUACAGUCAUUGAAACAAUUCAUAUUUUUAUAUCGAGCCCUCACCAAAUUAGCGUACUUUGGAGACACAGAAAUUGAUUCAAAAUUAUUAGCCACAGCAGUAGACAGUCUGAAACAGCCAUCAGCAGAUAAUCCGGAUAUUUGCAAGUUGGAAGCACAAUACCAGCAAAUCAAAACCUUCCAAGAGGAUACUCGAAGGAUGACUGCCAUCGGUGGAAGUGAGGACAAUAAGCCGAAAAACCGUU